AAACUCUCAAGCCCGGCUUGGUAUUGGGAAAGGUCCCCCGGGACCGUCCCGCAACUCGUUGAGCGUGAGCACCGCGACUUCAAGCGUAGCAAAUAACUCGCUUAGCUGUCCGGUGCCCGUCGCCAGAUGACUUUUUACCUUCAAA
rnacentral:misc_RNA from 1 species